rnacentral:rRNA from 1 species
GACGAACGCUGGCGGCACGCUUAACACAUGCAAGUCGAACGAGAGAAGAGAAGCUUGCUUUUCUGAUCUAGUGGCGGACGGGUGAGUAACACGUGAGCAAUCUGCCUUUCAGAGGGGGAUACCGAUUGGAAACGAUCGUUAAUACCGCAUAACAUAAUUGAACCGCAUGAUUUGAUUAUCAAAGAUUUAUCGCUGAAAGAUGAGCUCGCGUCUGAUUAGCUAGUUGGUAAGGUAACGGCUUACCAAGGCGACGAUCCGUAGCCGGACUGAGAGGUUGAUCGGCCCCAUUGGGACUGAGACACGGCCCAGACUCCCUCGGGAGGCAGCAGGGGGGAAGAUUGCACAAUGGAGGAAACUCUGAUGCAGCGAUGCCGGGUGAGGGAAGAAGGUUUUAGGAUUGUAAACCUCUGUCUUCAGGGACGAAAAAAGACGGUACCUGAGGAGGAAGCUCCGGCUAACUACGUG